GAUUCUAACUGAAGAAGUCCCAAAACCAGCCUGAGAGGUAUAUCAGGCCUCCUGCUACUGCUGCUCCUGGGAUCUGUACGCUUCCUUGUCAAUUCUGUGAUGCUUCAGGACCACGGCUCUUAGACUUCAGUCAAAUGGGCUAGCUCUCCAAAAAUCCAGAAUAAAUGACAGCGGUAAUGACAUGUGUGACUCAAAACGGAGCUCUAAGAUGGGAAACAGCAGCCCCAGAAUUUUGAAACAAAUCGGCAAAAUAAAUAUCUAUUUUCAGCUAAAGGGAAAAUAAACAGCAGCUUGGAACAUGGCAAGAAGCUCAUUCCCACCCCACAGAGGCGCAGAGGGGGAAGCCCGGGAGGCAAGGUCUCAACAGAAGACUUUUUAAAACCACCUGAUCCUCUUAUUUCGUACUAUAAAACAUAAUGGAGAUUUCAUCAAGUUGGCAGGAAAUCGUGAGCUAAUAAAAGAGCCUUGUUACAAAGAUAAUAAGACAAAGUCAUAAAAGACAGACUUAGGCUGAAUUCUGGCCCUCAGCCUCGCUGGAGGUAGCUGUACUUCUCGCUCUAACUCCAGCCCCUCAGAGCAUCCUAUCGUUCUGGGAAGAACGCAGCAUCUAGAAUGAGCACACGAAUCAAACCUGGUUCCAGAACUCUUGAUUUGAGCAGAGUGAGGACCUCAGUCCCUCACUAACAGAUUUGGAAGCACAGACUGGUGUUUCAGCUGCCUUCCCACCUGUGAUCCAAUGAAAUUUGCUUGUCAAAAAAGAAUUUGGAUUCAAAGGGACCUGGGAAAGAAAGAAGAUAUAGGCCUCACUGAUGACAAGUAGAAAGAGUCCUGGGGAUCCUGGGCCCCCUCCAGCAUCAGAUGGCUCUAAUAGGGGCCUGACUGAAGCC
rnacentral:lncRNA from 1 species